GGUGUGCGUAUGACAAUGUUAUUUAUAUAUUUUGCAAACAUGUUUACACACACACACACGCACACACACACCCCCACACGCACACACACACACACACACACAAAUACACAGAUUGCAUACGAUACAUGUAGGAAGUCGGUGUCACCGCCUUGUAAAAUGUGUUACACAUACCACGGGGCAGAAUUCCUGUUGAACCUACACCACGACCGGUGAAAGAGUGGCAGUCUCAGAAUCUCUUGUCAAUACGUGUGAUGUUCCAGUUAAAAACAAUCUUUUGUAACUCUUGCAUGGAUAGUAACCCAGGGAUCGUUUUCAACUAACUUUCACUUCCUUUUUUUAAUCAAUGUUGAGUGAAUCAAAUUCUAUGCUAUGCAAUAAGUCGUUUUCAUAAGAAGAUAGAAUAAAUUUGGGAGAGAUAUGUUUACCGAAAUACGACAACUUUAACACGAAAUAACUUCGAAAAUAGAAACUUUUUCCAGCAACGCAUAUUUGGAGUCAGAGGGAAGCAUCUACUUGUUCACACUAAUCGCUAGAAAUAGCAGCAGAAUCUCAAUCAAAACACACAUUAUCGUCUUACGAUGGACGCAGUGGCUGAUGUGAUGUCAUUUGGUGUACACGUUUUUGCAAUAAGGAUGGAUUGGUUACAGCUGAAAAGUAUUUUGUUAUCGAGCUUCUGUAUUAGGGAAUGCAUAUAAUAAAUCAUGGGAGCGAAAAUCAAAUUUA